rnacentral:lncRNA from 1 species
GACUGAGUAACUGUCAUUUUUUUGACUGACGACUGGCAAUCACUUUCUAACAGGCAAGAGAGAAUUGAUGGUUUCUUUCCCAGUGAAUCACUUGCCGAAUGGAUUGAUCCUGAGUUAUAGCUGAACAGAAUGAAAUGUGACCACUGAGAUGCAAUUCUUCCUGUAACAUAAACACAGAUAAUUCAGACUAAAUACCUUGGUGUAGGAGGCCACAAUGAAGAGGAAUAAACACCAGACCAGGAAUGAAGAGACUGGAUUCUGACACUAUGCUAUGCGUAUGUCCUUAGUUAACUCUUGCUGAUUCUUCUGAUCUCAGCUGAAUCGUCUCUGUGGCAGAGAGACUUCCUUGACAUUUAUGAUCAGAUUAUAUCAAAAGGAAACUCAGAGACUGAUAUGAAUAUUAAUAGAAGUAUUUUUACCUGUGGUGCUUGCAAGAGAAUCCAACCUUUGGAAGAACUGGACUUCAUAUAUAAAUAAUUUGGCAUUGGGCUACAACCUGAGGAUACAAUGGUGAGAAGAAUGAAACUCAGAAUGGAGGGAAGGAUUAUAUAAAGAACAUGGAUGAAUCCACAACCCAGCUUUAAUCAGGAAGACAAAAAAACCGCAAAUGAUGGUGCACGAUAAGGAGAAAGACACCUGUAUCUGUGAAUGACCAUUUGGAGCAGACUAACCUCCUGACCACAAAAAGCUGAAAUUUUCA